GGCGCAGUAGCCAAGUGGUAAGGCGUGGGUCUGCAACACCCCACAUAUGUGCGCCA
rnacentral:tRNA from 1 species